rnacentral:rRNA from 1 species
GAUGAACGCUGGCGGCGUGCCUAAUACAUGCAAGUCGAGCGAACAGAUGAGGAGCUUGCUCCUCUGACGUUAGCGGCGGACGGGUGAGUAACACGUGGAUAACCUACCUAUAAGACUGGGAUAACUUCGGGAAACCGGAGCUAAUACCGGAUAAUAUAUUGAACCGCAUGGUUCAAUAGUGAAAGACGGUUUUGCUGUCACCUAUAGAUGGAUCCGCGCCGCAUUAGCUAGUUGGUAAGGUAACAGCUUACCAAGGCAACGAUGCGUAGCCGACCUGAGAGGGUGAUCGGCCACACUGGAACUGAGACACGGUCCAGACUCCUACGGGAGGCAGCAGUAGGGAAUCUUCCGCAAUGGGCGAAAGCCUGACGGAGCAACGCCGCGUGAGCGAUGAAGGUCUUCGGAUCGUAAAACUCUGUUAUUAGGGAAGAACAAAUGUGUAAGUAACUAUGCACGUCUUGACGGUACCUAAUCAGAAAGCCACGGCUAACUACGUG